rnacentral:rRNA from 1 species
AUUUGAGAGGAGCUGUCCCUAGUACGAGAGGACCGGGAUGGAUAGACCGCUGGUGUACCAGUUGUCCUGCCAAGGGCAGUGCUGGGUAGCUAAGUCUGGUCGGAAUAAACGCUGAAAGCAUCUAAGCGUGAAGUCCCCCUUAAGAUAAGAUCUCCCACUAGGUAACUAGGUAAGACCCCAGGAAGACUACCUGGUUGAUAGGCCGGAUGUGUAAUUGCUGAGAGGCAUUUAGCUGACCGGUACUAAUAGGUCGAGGGCUUGACUU